rnacentral:rRNA from 1 species
UACGUAGGGGGCGAGCGUUGUCCGGAUUUAUUGGGCGUAAAGAGCGUGUAGGCGGUUCGGUAAGUCUGUCGUGAAAUCCUGAGGCUCAACCUCGGGCGUGCGAUGGAUACUGCCGGGCUAGAGGGUGGUAGAGGCGAGUGGAAUUCCCGGUGUAGCGGUGAAAUGCGCAGAUAUCGGGAGGAACACCAGUAGCGAAGGCGGCUCGCUGGGCCACACCUGACGCUGAGACGCGAAAGCUAGGGGAGCAAACAGG